GCACGCAUGCGAGAAAAGUAUGGGCUCGAUACCUCUGAGUUCAGCUACAACCCCUCUAAUCCCAGCAGGUUUCAGCAAGCGACGGUUGCACCAGCAGAAGAAAAGGGCAAAUGUGCCAUACUUUGAGUGUAGUAAAUGUUAUUGUAAGUGUGGUUACCUUUUAGGAGCUUGCUGGUCGCACCAGCGGAAGAAAGGGGCAAAUGUGCCAUACUUAGACU
rnacentral:misc_RNA from 1 species